UACGUAGGGGGCAAGCGUUGUCCGGAUUUAUUGGGCGUAAAGAGCGUGUAGGCGGCCAGGUAGGUGGGUUGUGAAAACUGGAGGCUCAACCUUCAGACGUCGACCCAAACCCCCUGGCUAGAGUCCGGAAGAGGAGAGUGGAAAUUCCUGGUGUAGCGGUGAAAUGCGUAGAUAUCGGGAGGAACACCUGAGGCGAAGGCGGGCUACUGGGCCGAUACUGACGCUGAUGCGCGAAAGCCAGGGGAGCGAACGGG
rnacentral:rRNA from 1 species